rnacentral:rRNA from 1 species
AUUGAACGCUGGCGGCAGGCUUAACACAUGCAAGUCGAGCGCGCGGCGGACGGGUGUGUAAUGUCUGGGAAACUGCCUGACGGAGGGGGAUAACUACUGGAAACGGUAGCUAAUACCGCAUACCAUCAGAUGUGCCCAGAUGGGAUUCGCUAGUAGGUGGGGUAAUGGCUCACCUAGGCGACGAUCCCUAGCUGGUCUGAGAGGAUGAACAGCCACCCUGGAUCGGAGACACGGUCCAGACUCAUACGGGAGGGAGCAGUGGGGAAUAUUGCACAAUGGGCGCAACCCUGAUGCAGCCAUGCCGCGUGUAUGAAGAAGGCCUUCGGGUUGGAAAGUACUUUCAGCGGGGAGGCGUUACCCGCAGAAGAAGCACCGGCUAACUCCGUGCCAGCAGCCGCGGUAAUUC